GUUCCCAUCUCAUAGGCAGCUUCUUUCCCUAAGAUUUAUAACAGCAAUAUUUAGGUUGGUUGGAAUGAAGUAUGAACGGAUGUCUCGGCUCCAGCCCCUUCCUUCCUGUUUAUAUUUAAUUUAUUUAUCCUCAUUUAGAUGAGGUAAAAGGCAGUGUUACCUCUUGGCCUGGUGGAACACCCAUUGCAGUGAAAUCUUUGCUGUAAUGGUUCACAUUCUUCAUUUCUGGCAUUUCCUGCUCAGUCAAUGAUAGUUAAUUAGGAAGCAGUGUGGGUGCAGGUUUGCAGGAACACUUGGCCCCUGUGCAUGCCUGGUUUGGCCUGGGAAUGUGCACUGGGAAAACCCCAGCCCACCUGCAUUCCCUGAGGUGCUGCAGCCUGGGACCUGGCCAAGGAGCAGUCCAGGGAGAAAAGAGGGAAAUGGGAUGAAAGGGAUGAUACUGUUCUCAAAACUGUCCCUGAGAGAGGGGAGUGAGGGACCCUCCUGCUGCCAAUGGGGAUGUUGAGGUUUUUGGCCACAGAGGGAGGGAGAACUGUGGGUCCAGAGGAAGGAGCUUGUGCACUAAAUUAUUUCAGGUUCUCUUCCAGGUCUGCACAGAGAUUUCCCUCCAUGAAGUAAUGGGAUGGAAGUGGGAAAAGGAGACUUUUUGUAGAGAUGAGCAUGAGCUUCAUCCUGGAGAGUCUGCAGUGUCCAGAAAACCAGUUUGAAAAACACCCAGCGUCUGAUUGGAAGCCACAAGAGGCGGGAAGGGAGCCCAGAUGCUGUGCCAAAACCUGAAGGCAUCACCAGAGCAAUCCAAGAAAGGUGCUGUGGAGGUCAGGGGCUGAGAAGUGCUGCCACAGAAGUGCCAUCGCAGACGUGGCAUCAGAUGCCACAGGUAGGGGCCAGAGUCCCACAGAUAUUCCAGGUACAGUCAUGUUUUUAGCCUAGAAGCUAAAAUUUUAAUUCUCCCACUAAUUCAUUCUGUCUUUCAAACACAGAGUUCUGUAGUGCUUGGAGAGAAGUGGAUUUAUGAACAGAAAAAGACAUGGCACAGAAUAAAUCUAGAUACGGGAAGUUGCUUUAAAUGUCAUGUAUUCCCACAGCUAUAUUAUGGAAAAUAUUUUAUAGUCACCGUUUCUGUGUGUUUAUAGAUUGUAAAAAUGUCUCUUUAGGACUGAGUUGUGCUACUGGCACGUUGGGAUGGAGCCAGUACCACACUGUGUGGGUUUGCUGUGGUGCUUGGAGUGCCCUGGCAGAUGCUGAGGGUGGCAACUCUGCAGCACACACGCUCACACACGUGCACAUACACAGAGAAUCUCUAAACACUCGGCUCUAAACUCUUUAGUAUUUAAAAAAGCCCUGCAAAAGCAGCUGCAAGAAGGGGAAACGACUCCUGGAAAUGGAUCCCAGAUGCCUGCAGAGGGCAAAAACCUCUGGAAGUUGGAUUGCUAAAAGAUGGAUCCCUGGAGAUAAAGAGUGUGGCUGUUGGUGAGAGCACCCCCAGCCACUGCACCAGCUCUGCUUCGUACACAGACUUCAGCCCAGGCUCUCAGACGCCCCAUUUGACACAGACUGGGAUUUUGGGAAGUGCUUUCUGGAGUGACAACACAGUUCAGCCCCCACCUAUUGCCAUGAGGUUGGAGAUGCAGCCUCAGGAGCUCUAUGGCUCCUGGUGGUUUCCAGAGCAGGUGGUGCCAAAUACAGACUCAGCAUCUUUAUUUAACACCAUUGUCAGGGGAAAUUAUUUCUUAAGAGUGUCUGAGAAAUAGUU